UUGAUUAUUAAUAUGUAUACAGCUGUAAUGAUAAACCUCGCUUUACAGGUAUAGUUUAUCAUGUCCACUUCAACUAACACUAUAUUACAAUAAUUAUUAAAAAAAAGAUUAUAUUGUCAAAGUUUUGCAAUGUCUAUUUCAACUGACGCUAUAUUACGGGUAUAUAAUUAUUUAAAAAAAGAUUAUAUUGUCUUAUUAUAUUAUAUGGCAAGCAUCACUUCCGGUGAUAUGGUGGACUGUGAUUGGGUGAGAAGCACUUUCAAUGGUCCAACUAAUUGAAAAUUUGAAAAUUAUAAUUUAAUUUGUUAUUAAUAAAAUAUCUGCGAAUGGUUUUCAAUGGAAAGGAAGGAAUACAUUGUUAUUGUUUGUUUUCUUCGACCAAAUGUGUACCACGCUACUAAUAUGCAUUUCAAAUCAUUCAUUUCUUGUUUGUUUCGAGUGUAAGUGCUUAUAAAUGCCAUAUAUAUUUAUUAACCUCGCUCGGUCUUUAUAGAGAAAUAUCGGACAUCGGACCUCGGUCUUUUUGUACAAACCUCACCCUACGGGCUCGAUCUGUACAAAAAAAGACGUCGGUCCGAUAUUUCUGUAUAAAGACCUCGCGCUCGGUUAAUAAGAAGAUAAUAAUAAUGAUAAUAAUAAUGAAGUUUAUUUAUCUGAGGGUGAUAAGUUACUGUUUACCUUGGCCUGUUUCAAACGUCGCAUUGUGCUAGCCUCCUCCGCAGGCAUCUCGUAUUUCACGUACUUCAGAAAGUCGGUGAGAUUUUUUUGCCUGCAAGAAAUUUUGCCCGAUAAUCGAAAGGCGAUGCCUGCGGAGGAGGCUAGCAUUGUGCAUGUGUCAAGUUCAAUUCUGUUGGGUGUGGCUUUGAAGCUGUAAUGUUGUUGAAAUGUCACAUGUUGCAACUUCGGAAAAAUUAAAUCUAGGCUCAAAUUUAGAGUAUAGUAAGGCGAGACUUUUUUAUUUAUUGGUUUACGGAUUUUACUUGAAAAAAAAACCAGGUCGGUAGGUCGGAAAAAAUAAAAAAACACAUUGUUUUUCAAGAUUGUCACAACAACAACAUGAGCCAGUAGUACUCAGAAUCAAAGUUUACUUGGCGUGUACUUCAUGUCAGGCGUGUACUUCAUGUCUAAAAUUAACUAAAAUCGUAAAAUUGUUGACAUCCAAAUUUUUUUAUUUUUCACUUUCAGGGGCCGGUUGUUCAAAGGUGGAUCAGCGCUAACCCUGGGUUAAAAUUGAACCUGCUGUUUUAGUUCGUAUAUUUCUACACGUCUGUUUAUUUCAAAACUUCAGAGAAGUAAACUCCGAUCCAGACAAAAUCUCUGAAGAAAUAUUUCCAAAUUUAAUUAUAUAGACAAGCUGUCAGGAAGUUUGCUUUGAAUUUUAGCUUAACCUAGGGUUAAGCUAACCCACCUUUGAACAACCAGCCACUGAAUAUUUACGGUUGGCGCAUCCAUAAACCAAUGAAUAAAAACGCCUAACCAUGAUAAACAAUAUGUUUUUGCAGUUGUUUGUAAUACAUUCA